AAGAAAACUCCCUCUGAUGGGAAAGGAUGCAAAGGGAAACAACCUGAUUUUGGUGACCACGCACAAAAGUUGUCUCAGGAAAAAGGUUCAGUCCUCGUGCUUGUUCAGAAAAGAAGCCCUAGAAACCUGAAAUGAAUUCCCAGGCACACCAUCAUCUGUCACACACUCCGGCUGCCUGCUGCUCUCAGGAGGCUGGGAUGUUACAUACCACAGAUGGAGACACACACAGGUUUAUAUUCAAGAUUUCAGCAGAUUCAUUUCAGUGACACAGGGCAACAGAAUGGCAACCAGAUGCUGAAUGCUGCCCAUUUCUUGCUGUUCUCCACCCAGCACUCCUGCCAUGGACAAAGUGACAGGACUCACCUGCACACCAAGAGAGAAGAAAAGUGUGGGCAGGUACAAAAAGGGCACGCUCCCCGCACAGGACACGCUGUGCCCCAAGCACGAAGCCCGUCCUUGUAACUGCACAGCUCCCCGGUGCCGCCGCACCUCGCCUUCCCCCCGCUGCGCCAAGAGGCCAGCGAGCCUUGAGGGAAGGUUAUGAAUUAACGGCUCCUCUCCCU
rnacentral:lncRNA from 1 species